rnacentral:misc_RNA from 1 species
UCUUGAAACCUCACACCCUAGAGUUUUCUCUAGGACGUGGAUUUGGGUGUUGCAACUUGCUCACCUUGAAUUUCUUAGUGGUUCCAACCGUAGCCUGAUGUAAUAAGUUUCAUCUGGUCAAGGGAAGACUGCUUCUAAUCGCCUCGCGGCACUAUUUAAGACUAGACCUCAAAUCAGGUAGGACUACCCGCUGAACUUAA